CCCUCCCCGCACCUCUCCGCCGGGGCCACCCCCGCUCGGCGCCUCCUGAUCCCUCACUUCCCCGCAAGCGGCAGGAGGCGGGAGAUAACAAGGCUCCAUAAGGAAGGAGACAUCAAAAAUCACAAGAUCAUCAGUCAAGGGGAUGAGAACUGCCAGUCCUGUGGCACAGUAUCUUCUCUGAGUACUAAGGAAGAACAUUUUGCCUUUGCCUGAAUUACAGUUCCUAAACCACUAGAUACAGCCUUAAAGAGCAGAGUGAUUCCAUAUAUCAAGAAUGACGUGAAUCCCCUAAAGGAUUCUAUGCUUGGAGUUUGUAGGUCACUGGUGAUGGAAAGGAUAAAUAGAAGUGACAUUAGAGACCCACACAUUUCUACCAAGUUACUAUCCAAUAUAUUAUCAGAAGAUUCAGAUUAUAAACUAGUAAUUUGAUGUUAUUAAAAUCCUAGCCCACAAAAGCAAAGUGAAUUUUAGAAGCUUAAUAAUGUCUUGCUACUGCCAUUUUUAACUUCAUAGUAAUAGCAGCCUCUCAUGUGAUACAUGAACAUUAGCUGGCGUUAAUGGCCUUUGAAAUGUCCUUGCUGAUACUGCUAACAGUCUUGUAGGCAAUUGUUCCCUAAUAGCUUAGAUUACCCUGGAAGCCAAAGGCCCAAUUAAGAUCAAGAGCCCUUUUGUUCUAGACACUGAGCAAACAUAUCCUGUUCUGAAGAAUGUAUAAGAUGAAAAAUGAGAGAUGCUCAAUGAGGGUUGAAACAGGAAAGGUAUAAUGCAAUGUUUACAAAAUGUUACCGGUAUGUUAAAAGGUUGCAAAAUAAUAUCUGCCCCUUUAGCUGCCAUCAUUCAUUAAAGCAGAAACAUUUGAAAACCAAA